CUACGGGGGGCUGCAGUGAGGAAUAUUGGUCAAUGGGCGCGAGCCUGAACCAGCCAUCCCGCGUGCAGGAUGACGGCCCUAUGGGUUGUAAACUGCUUUUCUAUGCCAAGAAACCUGAUUACGUGUAAUCAGUUGCCGGUAGCAUAGGAAUAAGCAUCGGCUAACCCCGUGCCAGCAGCCGCGGUAAUACGGAGGAUGCAAGCGUUAUCCGGAUUCAUUGGGGUUAAAGGGUGCGCAGGUGGGCUUGUAAGUCAGUGGUGAAAUGCUGCCGCUUAACGGUAGAACUGCCAUUGAUACUGCGAGUCUUGAGUAUGGUUGAGGUAGGCGGAAUGUGUUGUGUAGCGGUGAAAUGCAUAGAUAUGACACAGAACGCCAAUUGCGAAGGCAGCUUACUAAGCCAUUACUGACGCUGAGGCACGAAAGCGUGGGGAGCGAACAGGAUUAGAUACCCUUGUAGUC
rnacentral:rRNA from 1 species